rnacentral:rRNA from 1 species
AGUGAACGCUGGCGGCAGGCCUAAUACAUGCAAGUCGAACGGCAGCACAGCAGAGCUUGCUCUGUGGGUGGCGAGUGGCGGACGGGUGAGGAAUACGUGGGAAUCUGCCCAGUCGUGGGGAUAACGUAGGGAAACUUACGCUAAUACCGCAUGCGCCUUCGGGGAAGCGGGACCGUUCGGCCUGGCGCGAUUGGAUGAGCCACGUCGGAUUAGCUAGUUGGCGGGGUAAAGGGCCCACCAAGGCGACGAUCCGUAGCUGGUCUGAGAGGAUGAUCAGCCACACUGGAACUGAGACACGGUCCAGACUCCUACGGGAGGCAGCAGUAGGGAAUAUUGGACAAUGGGCGCAAGCCUGAUCCAGCCAUGCCGCGUGAGUGAAG